GGGUAGGACGAUCAAUUGUUUUUGCUUCUGUUCUUAAUGCAUUAUUAAUUGCUAGGGGAGGCUAGGGAUAGCAAGCCAGUAAUUAGUAAUAGGCUCUUUUCGCCGAGGGAUCGGGUUAAGGGUAGGCCAAGAAAGUUUGCAUAACAAUUAGAUAACAAGCGCAAUAAAUAAGAGGAAUAGAUAAGAGGGAGCAGAUAAGAUGAAAUUGUAAACCCCCAACAACUCCAUUCAUGCAUAGUCUCUUUUCUUGAAUUGAAUCAAAUACUUGCAUGUUUAUUUUCAGUCUUUGCAUUCACCACAAUUAUUUCUUUUUACAAGUCUUACGAUUUUAAUUCACACGAACGAGAAAACCUUUCGAGUCUCAUGGGAAGAACGAUAUCGGGUAUUACCGAUUAUAUUACUUGCACGAUCUGGUACACUUGCCAGUGACUCAACAUUACCC
rnacentral:lncRNA from 1 species